GGUCUGGUAAAUCUAGUGUUAAAAAUGUUUCAACAAUAGGCUUCGUCAAUAGUCCUUAAAAAGUUCUAUAGUUCCCGGUCUCGUUCUAAGUGUUGCAUUGUUAACCAACGGUGAGUAAAUAAAAUCGUACUCCCGGACUCGCCGCUACGAUUUAGCGCCAUGUUUUUGGUGUCGCCUAAAACCGUAGCGUGGUGCAACUCCCUACUCAUCUCUGGUAUUAACGGAUAAAAAUACAACACAGCCAACAAGUAUCGAGAUUGUCGAAAGCACUAUCGAGACUGCAGGAAACGAGAAUCAACGAGAUAAAAGAAUCGAUCUUGACGAGUAUCGAUCAGCAGCAUAAACAGAGCUUCGAGGUUUCGACGCAGACGUCGCGCGCGACGCUAGAAUUUGACGCGUCAACAGUUGCCGUUAGAACGUCAAUGGCGGCGGGACAAUCGGAGGCGGAAAUUAUGUUGUUGAAACCGGAGGAUGAUCCAGAGGAGGACAUGAGGCAGCAACUGAUGACGAACGAGAAGCAGAUCGAUUAUCUUCAGCGACAGAACAUCCGAUUGGCCAGAACGCUGAAUCGACUGCAAAGGCACAGACGUUCAACCCCAUGUUAAAUGACGCAUCCACAAUGCACGAUAGGUCUGUCGUCGCUCUGGGAUUUAUGUAGAGCCAAGUAAGCGAUAGCUCAAUCCUCGAAAAUCCAGUGUCUCCCGAAACGUAGAAAACAACCAGUCCAAAAGCUCGAAUCCCAUUCAGCCUCGUACCACAGCAUCCAGCCAAUCUGUAUUCCUUGUUUUCUAAGAUAAGACAGGGUGAAGACGUAUCCUUGGGGUGAGUGUCCAUAAGUUACACCGUUAACGAUACCAACGGAUCCCAGUGAAAUUCGUCGCGCGUAAAAUUUAAGACCGUUUCGACAGACAAUUUCGUUAGAUAAGACAGGAUUUAAAAUACUGGCCAACUUGGUUAUACGCUCACGAAACAUUCUCUUUUAUCUCUAUCAGAUUUCCCUAACAGUUUGUAAAAGAAAAAGAAGUCAAAUAAAGACCUAUCCUAAGAGACUCACCUCUUUCUUUUUAUUCGCUGUAAAACAUCUUUUGUUCUUAAUCAAAUUAUUGCAUUAACGCCAUCAAUAAAAUUUUCAUAAUACACUCUUGCGUUAACCUUAAAUGUCUUAUAAGCUCGAUUAAUCAUCAGCUGAUAGUUUCGGCAUCGCGCAAGACGCCUAAAACCACGUCCAUCCACGUCGUGAAAUUAGCUCCAGAUCGAUCAGCGUCUCUGACGGAACUAUGCCGGGAAGUAGUUAUCGAGGGCUGUCAAAGUUACGUAUAAUAUAUGCGCCCAGGUUAAGGAACAUCGAGGUCCCGCAGAGUCAGCAGUGGUAUCGCUCGUAAGAAAAUCAACGUCGCUCGAUCAGCCAUCAUUUUGCCGAACAAUUAUAACUCACGGUAAAGUAAUUUUGAUCUAAUUACACUUCCACCUUAAUUAACGAUCGUCAUAAGCAAUAAAAUCAAACUGACUCUGCGAUUUCCACCGACUUUCGCGUUAAUUCAAUUUACCCCUUAUCGAGGAGCCGUCAUAAAACUCAAAUCAGCACGAACCGUCUCAGCGACAAUCAAGAGGAACAGAGGACAAAUCAUUAACCAUGUAGAAGGAACCGACCUUUUUCAAAAUAUAUUUUUCCCUCUAUUUCCAUUUUAUAUAUAUUUACAAUUUAUCUCGUAGAGUUUAGUUUUUAAGUAAAUAAUCCUGUGAUCCUAAACCACUAGUCUGGGUUCGAUUGAAAAAAAAAGAAGAGAGUAAAGAAGA